rnacentral:rRNA from 1 species
UUCCGGUUGAUCCUGCCGGACCCGACUGCUAUCAGAGUGGGACUAAGCCAUGCGAGUUAACGUAGCAAUACGUGGCAUACGGCUCAGUAACACGUGGUCAACAUACCCAGAGGACGUGGAUAACCUCGGGAAACUGAGGAUAAACCGCGAUAGACCACAAUGUCUGGAAUGAUUUAUGGUUCAAAUCUACAUGGCCUCUGGAUUGGACUGCGGCCGAUCAGGCUGUUGGUGAGGUAAUGGCCCACCAAACCUGAAACCGGUACGGGCUCUGAGAGGAGAAGCCCGGAGAUGGGCACUGAGACAAGGGCCCAGGCCCUAUGGGGCGCAGCAGGCGCGAAAUCUUUGCAAUAGGCGAAAGCCUGACAAGGUUACUCUGAGUGAUCUCCGCUAAGGAAAUCUUUUGACACCUCUAAAAAUGGUGUAGAAUAAGGGGUGGGCAAGCCUGGUGUCAGCCGCCGCGGUAAUACCAGCACCCCGAGUGGUCGGGACGAUUAUUGGGCCUAAAGCAUCCGUAGCCGGUUCCUUAAGUCCUCCGUUAAAUCCACCUGCUUAACAGAUGGGCUGCGGAGGAUACUAUAGAGCUAGGAGGCGGGAGAGGCAAGCGGUACUCAGUGGGUAGGGGUAAAAUCCGUUGAUCCAUUGAAGACCACCAGUGGCGAAGGCGGCUUGCCAGAACGCGCUCGACGGUGAGGGAUGAAAGCUGGGGGAGCAAACCGGAUUAGAUACCCGGGUAGUCCCAGCUGUAAACGAUGCAGACUCGGUGAUGAACAGGCCUCGUGCCUGUUCAGUGCCGCAGGGAAGCCGUUAAGUCUGCCGCCUGGGGAGUACGGUCGCAAGACUGAAACUUAAAGGAAUUGGCGGGGGGAGCACCACAAGGGGGUGAAGCCUGCGGUUCAUUGGGAAUCAACGCCGGGA